rnacentral:rRNA from 1 species
GAUGAACGCUGGCGGCGUGCCUAAUACAUGCAAGUCGAGCGAACAGACGAGAAGCUUGCUUCUCUGACGUUAGCGGCGGACGGGUGAGUAACACGUGGAUAACCUACCUAUAAGACUGGGAUAACUUCGGGAAACCGUAGCUAAUACCGGAUAAUAUUUUGAACCGCAUGGUUCAAUAGUGAAAGACGGUCUUGCUGUCACUUAUAGAUGGAUCCGCGCUGCAUUAGCUAGUUGGUAAGGUAACGGCUUACCAAGGCAACGAUGCGUAGCCGACCUGAGAGGGUGAUCGGCCACACUGGAACGGAGACACGGUCCAGACUCCUACGGGAGGCAGCAGUAGGGAAUCUUCCGCAAUGGGCGAAAGCCUGACGGAGCAACGCCGCGUGAGUGAUGAAGGUCUUCGGAUCGUAAAACUCUGUUAUUAGGGAAGAACAUAUGUGUAAGUAACUGUGCACAUCUUGACGGUACCUAAUCAGAAAGCCACGGCUAACUACGUG